GAUAUCCGAGGGCCCAGGUGAUUUCUGUUCCUUCUGCUUGUUUCACUUGCAGGUGUUUCCCAGUCCAGCUCGCUGAGCCUCCGGCUCUGACAUUGGCACGUUCUUCAUUCCAGCUCUGGCUCUGAGAUGCUGCACUUGAUGGCUGCUCCAGUUCCUUCCAGCUCUGGGUCCCUGAGGUGGGUUCCCAUCUCUGCAGUCACCAAUGCUGCCGAUUUCCCUGGAAUCUCCCGCUGGGUGUUGAAGGGCAGCAGCCGGGGGAUGUGUUGAAGCAUCCUCUUCAUGCAGCGUUCCAAGCGAGGGUUGCAGUCAGCCUGUCAGCUGCAGAGUGUGACAGGGGGAGCGUGUGUGAGUCUGUGUCUGUCUGGGAGAGUCUGUGUCUGUCUGGAGAGUUUGUGUCUGUGUCUGUCUGCUCUUGUCUGCCUGUGCCAGUGUGUGUGCUGACUGCUUCUAACCUUGUGCAUAUGGUUUUUACCUUUUACCUUUGUCAACUCAUUUUUAAAUUUAGAAUAGAAAGUCCCCAGCCAGAGGGUUGGGUUUUUUCCCCCCCAGCUGAGUUUUUUUCCUUAGUCCCAGCCAACAAGACUAUGUUCAUCCCCAGAGGUUGGGCAUGGACAGUCCCAGUACCAGGGUUUUGUCAGCAGGAGGGUUUUUGAGGCAUGGACAGUCCCAGUACCAGGUUUUUGUCAGCAGGAGUGUUUUUCAGGCUCCUAGGAGCACUGAUGGCCGUGGUGUAAUGGAGCAGUGGAGACAAGAGCCACGGUGAGUUUGUGUGUGAGCUGAAAGAGUCGUGUGUGGUGCACAAGUGUUCUUCUUUCUGUGUGCUGCUUCUGUGUUGGGUUUCAUGUGUAAAUAAUAGCAACUGUAAUCAACACUUCAGAAACAGAAAAAUGGUUCUAUUGCAUUAAUAUAUAUUUUUGGUUUGUGUUCCCCUGUAUUGUUCUGUGUUUGCACUUGCUGCUGCAUUUCCAUGCAUUGCUCUGUAUAUAAUUCACCUUUAGCAGCCAUGUGUCCAUGGAGUGUACCUGUAAUUGAAUUGGUACCUGUCCUUGCCUUUGUACACCUUGCUGUCUUUUGCUGUGAAUAAAAACAUUCAUUCAAUAAAGUUAAGUCGCCCCUAGUCAAGAUA